UCCCACCUAAAGCCUUACAUGUGCACAGU
rnacentral:piRNA from 1 species